rnacentral:rRNA from 1 species
UGAGGAAUUUUGCGCAAUGGCCGCAAGGCUGACGCAGCAACGCCGCGUGGGUGAAGAAGGCCUUCGGGUCGUAAAGCCCUGUCAGGUGGGAAGAACACCCUGGGGACGAACAAGCUUCAUGGCUGACGGUACCACCAGAGGAAGCACCGGCUAACUCCGCGCCAGCAGCCGCGGUAAUACGGAGGGUGCGAGCGUUAUUCGGAAUUACUGGGCGUAAAGCGCGUGCAGGCGGUUUGGCAAGUCUGAUGUGAAAGCCCCGGGCUUAACCUGGGAAGUGCAGUGGAAACUGCCGGACUGGAGGACUGGAGAGGAAGGGGGAAUUCCCUGUGUAGAGGUGAAAUUAGUAGAGAUCGGGAGGAAUACCAGUGGCGAAGGCGCCCUUCUGGACGGUUACUGACGGUGAGACGCGAAAGCGUGGGGAGCAAACA